GGUCUGACACUGGGAGUCUGAUUUGUGUUGCCUGCUCCGAGCAUUGGGGGUCUUAUUUUGGGGGUCUGAUUUGGAGGUCAGAUUAGGAUUGGGGAUCUCAUUUAGGAGUCUGAUCUGAGGUCUGAUGAAAAAUAUAUUUUUAGUUUUUUUUUUCUCUGCUAAUGAAAAAUAAAAAAAUAUUUUAGCAGACCUCAGAUCGGAU